rnacentral:rRNA from 1 species
UACGUAGGGGGCUAGCGUUGCUCGGAAUCACUGGGCGUAAAGGGCGCGUAGGCGGCUUUAUAAGUCGGGGGUGAAAGCCUGUGGCUCAACCACAGAAUUGCCUUCGAUACUGUAGAGCUUGAGACCGGAAGAGGUAAGUGGAACUGCGAGUGUAGAGGUGAAAUUCGUAGAUAUUCGCAAGAACACCAGUGGCGAAGGCGGAUUACUGGUCCGGUUCUGACGCUGAGGCGCGAAAGCGUGGGGAGCAAACAGG